UCUCUUCUAUCUCUUUAAUUUACUACAGAAGAAAGUAGGAGAGGAUACCUGAUUUGGACUCACUCUUACAUUAAAAUCUGGUCCCUCAAGCUACAUAACAGAAGUCUGAGCUUCUAGACUUAUCUGUGUAGCACUUGUUCAUGGACACUAUGAAUGAUCACAUAUACACUAGAAGCUUCACGUACAAUCUAGGAUAUUAAGUGCCCAGUAAAUGUUUAUUGGUGAUGUCAGUGCCAGCUUUACAGCUUUGGACAUAGGAACAAGCUACUGGCUUCCAUGAGCAUCUGCCUACGAAGGUUUACAUGGAAGAGAGAUAGAUCACGAUGUCAGUGAUCACUUCUAGUUUUGGUGAUUUUUUUCAGGGUCAGAAGAGUCAUCAAGUUCUUCAGAUACUAUGAUUGAUGGUGGACGCCAGCUCAAACGGACAAAGCGACUAGAAACCAAGACAGGGACCACAUCUCUGGGAGCAGAAGGGAGGAUGCUGGAGCUUGGGAUGGCUACGAAAGAACAAGAGGAGAACAUCAGAACUGCUGUCACCACUAGGCACAACUCAGAACUGAACCAUAAUGUACAUGGUCAAGAGUAUCAGACAAGUCCUAAUGAAGGCUAAUAAGAAUAAAUAAUGUCUGAAGGGAAAUAAGGAAUAAAUCUGAAUACAUUAGAGUUUAAAGAAGUGACUUCUCAAUAGUGUAUAUGAUUUUAGGAUUAUUUUAUCCCUGGAAUCCAUGAGAAAAAGAAAAACAUUGCCACUACAGAUAGGUAGCAAGUGGCAAGGAGUGACAUUGGAUAAUGCAAUUUUUAAUGCUUUAAAGUUAUUGUAUGUAUGUAUGAUGUAUAUAUAGGGACAAGCAUAUAUCAUGCACAUAGAUCAGAAGAAAACUGAUUUGUUUUCUUCAUCUAUAUCUACAAAGCUCUAGUAAUAUGAAAUUUUAAUAUGUAUGUAAUUUCUAGAUAGGUCUUGCUUUAGAAAUAUGGACAAUAUAAGUGUAUUAUAUUUCUUAGGAGAUCAAAUGAAAUUUUUGAAUAAGAGAUACAUAGGCAAUAUGAAGGCAGAGGAAAGAUAUCAGGCAAAUAAACAUUUUCUCUGUCAAAGAAAA